rnacentral:rRNA from 1 species
GAUGAACGCUGGCGGCGUGCCUAAUACAUGCAAGUCGAGCGAACAGACGAGGAGCUUGCUCCUCUGACGUUAGCGGCGGACGGGUGAGUAACACGUGGAUAACCUACCUAUAAGACUGGGAUAACUUCGGGAAACCGGAGCUAAUACCGGAUAAUAUAUUGAACUGCAUGGUUCAAUAGUGAAAGACGGUUUUGCUGUCACUUAUAGAUGGAUCCGCGCCGCAUUAGCUAGUUGGUAAGGUAACGGCUUACCAAGGCAACGAUGCGUAGCCGACCUGAGAGGGUGUGCGGCCACACUGGAACUUGGACACGGUCCAGACUCCUACGGGAGGCAGCAGUAGGGAAUCUUCCGCAAUGGGCGAAAGCCUGACGGAGCAACGCCGCGUGAGUGAUGAAGGUCUUCGGAUCGUAAAACUCUGUUAUUGGGGAAGAACAAAUGUGUAAGUAACUAUGCACGUCUUGACGGUACCUAAUCAGAAAGCCACGGCUAACUACGUG